rnacentral:rRNA from 1 species
UACGGGGGGGGGCAAGCGUUGUUCGGAAUUACUGGGCGUAAAGGGCUCGUAGGCGGCCAACUAAGUCAGACGUGAAAUCCCUCGGCUUAACCGGGGAACUGCGUCUGAUACUGGAUGGCUUGAGUUCGGGAGAGGGAUGCGGAAUUCCAGGUGUAGCGGUGAAAUGCGUAGAUAUCUGGAGGAACACCGGUGGCGAAGGCGGCAUCCUGGACCGGCAUUGACGCUGAGGCGCGAAAGCCAGGGGAGCAAACGGGG